GGGAAGUGAGAUGCUCCCCCUAAACACCAACACAGCAGUCGUGUACCUUUCAAGGGGUUCAGGGGCAAGAUGGGCAAGGCAUUUCUGCUAACUCUUCUUAAGGAUCAUGGACAGUGCCCUAUGCUACGAGACUGGUGUUUCAUCUUGACGAGUUCUCUGUCAGUCCGUAGGAAAGCUGUCUGGCUUGGAGGUUGCAAUCCCAGGGAAUUUUUCAUCAGCGGGGAAGUCUCCAUCACUACAGAGGAAGCAAGGGAGAAGUCAGUCCCUGGGAAGUGAGAUGCUCCCCCUAAACACCAACACAGCAGUCGUGUACCUUUCACGGGGUUCAGGGGCAAGAUGGGCAAGGCAUUUCUGCUAACUCUUCUUAAGGAUCAUGGACAGUGCCCUAUGCUACCAGACUGGUGUUUCAUCUUGACGAGUUCUCUGUCAGUCCGUAGGAAAGCUGUCUGGCUUGGAGGUUGCAAUCCCAGGGAAUUUUUCAUCAGCGGGGAAGUCUCCAUCACUACAGAGGAAGCAAGGGAGAAGUCAGUCCCUGGGAAGUGAGAUGCUCCCCCUAAACACCAACACAGCAGUCGUGUACCUUUCACGGGGUUCAGGGGCAAGAUGGGCAAGGCAUUUCUGCUAACUCUUCUUAAGGAUCAUGGACAGUGCCCUAUGC